rnacentral:rRNA from 1 species
GCGAAAACUUUACAAUGCUGGCAACAGCGAUAAGGGAACCUCGAGUGCCAGGUUACAAAUCUGGCUGUCGAGAUGCCUAAAAAGCAUUUCAUAGCAAGGGCCGGGCAAGACCGGUGCCAGCCGCCGCGGUAACACCGGCGGCACGAGUGGUAACCGUUACUAUUGGGUCUAUAGGGCCUGUAGCCGGCCGGAUAAGUCUCUUGAGAAAUCUGGCGGCUUAACUGUCAGGCUUUCAGGAGAUACUGGCUGGCUCGAGGCCGGGAGAGGUGAGAAGUACUUCAGGGGUAGGGGUGAAAUCUUGUAAUCCUUGAAGGACCACCAGUGGCGAAGGCGUCUCACCGGAACGGACCUGACGGCAAGGUACGAAAGCUAGGGGCACGAACC